GAGGGGACGAUGGAGCUGGUUAGUGAAUUUGAUGGUCCUUAAGAGACCUAGGUGCCGCUCAGGACGGCUCCUGAUGGAUGGAGCUACGGUAGUUGAGUUUGUGCACAGGAGAAACAAUGGCGGAUGCUUGCCGCAACUACGACGGCGACACCCAGCAAUUCUAGAGCUCCCCAUGCACACAUUAAUAUUCAACUAUUAUCGUCCUCCCUUGAGUUAGGUUUUGGGUGAGGAUUGUACUCUUUCGGAGCUGACUGGCAACCAAGCUCGCUUCACUCUUAGACAAGGUACAUUAGAGUUUGCAUUUUACAUUAGGGCUUGCAUUUUUUUUUAUUAUUGAUUUCCUUCUUUUCUCUUAACCGGGCCCCGAUACAUGGCCCUCUCCUAUGCUAAUGCAAUACGUACCCACCCCGAGGUGGCAACUCCAACUAGCAAAGGAGACGUUAAUACGGCUGAAGUACCAGGCGGUGAAUUUGCUGAUUCCAUUCGGCUCCAGUGUGACGAUUUAAUCCUAAAUCCCACUAGACUGAAUAUUGGUGAAACCCUACCAGAAGGACUAACCCGUAACUACGCUAGGUUCCUUAUCAAGAAAGAAAAAAGGCAUAUACAAAUCGCGGAUGAGGUCGUUGCAGCAGAAGAAAGGUUCCUCGAGGACCAUCUGAUUACAGCCAACUUCCUAGGUGGCAAGCUUUCUUCCCCAGGCGUUCUUCUCUUAGUUGGCAUAGCUGAACACGAAAAUUGGCGGAGGCAACGUCAUCUCCAGUGAUAAUACUGGUCGCGGAUAUUUUUUGCUUAAAGGCCUCUGGCAAGGAGGUAGUCAAGAAGAUCUUGGUUGUCGCCCUGUAUCGCUCCUACGAAUUUGUAUGUAUCUUCCAGCAGUGGACACCCAUUUUCGAUCCCAAAACCCAGCGAGGUAUGUUGAUUCUCACUUGGAUCACUCUGAAAAGACUACCUUGGCAGUAACUCGUGCGUCGCCCUAGAGAUUGCAGGAAAACUAUGGAAAGUACUUGCGACAGAUGUGAGUAACAAUUUCUUUGUAGAACCUCGUUUUUGUGCCGCCCUUGACACUAAUCAUGGCUGGGAAAUAGAGCUUGAAAUAGAGGAUCAUAAAACCCGUAACCUAAUUACCAUAUUGGCUGAUUAUGCGCACCUGCCCAUCCGGUGCAAAUUCUGCUUUGACGUACAACACAAGGUUAGUCUCUACCCGCACAGACUUGGAGCGAAGCCACCGAAACCAAGCGGGGAACAACCGCCCAACAGAGGAGACAAUCACAAACCUGGCCGAAACAACAUUCAGACAACUCAAGAUCAAGACAAGGCUUUCCAAAGGAGGCCUCUAAUUGACAAUGAAGGUUUUAUUUUGGUGGGUAGAGGAUCCCGUGGAAUGGCUCGUGUUUCACCACAAAAUCCAGCUCUCCUAGUACCUCCUCACCCACCGGAGGCUCCACCCUACCCAACGUGGGAGAACCAAGCGACAUCAAGACACCUAUCUGCUCUUCCCUCUACUCCGUGGCUCGAAGGAACCUCAGAUCCCUUAUCUUGAACACCCUCCUCAAUGGAACAACCAACUACAUACAACAAACAACCUAGUAAUGAUAACUCUAACACCCUCCAUAUAGUUUCUACCUCUUCAUCGGCCCUUCAGUGCGUCGCCACAGCCACCACAUCUAGGAUCACGUCGUCCGUCAGACAUCCUCCCUUGUUGCAGAGUUCCCAUCAGCCAAUUGAGGAGCCAGAGCCAGCCUACAACACAGUUUCUCGCCGAAGGGAAGUGUCCAGAAUUGCCACCUCAUAGGAGGGCAAUCCCUCCCUUGUGAGGCUCCGUAGCCAGCCCAAACUUGCUCACCAGCUGCAUACCAGAGUACCCAGGCAUCUCCCAACCCAUUGCUUCAUGGACCUGCGCACAGUACCCAAGACCCAUCAAGCCCACCCAUUCCUGAGAUGGGAAUUGAUCUUGGAAGCCACUCCAAUCCGAGCUCAGGCACAGAAACUAUCAUGAAACGAAUCAAUCUUAACAUCAACAUCGAAUUUAGUGACGAAGUUGCAGCAACCCUCGAACGUCACCAACCAUCUCCAACCCCUAUGAACAAUGACUGGUUGGUGCGCCGUAGACGUUCCGAGUUGGACUAACUCCUCACAUUUCCCUUGCAAUAGAAGUCAGAGUAGGAGCCCCACGUUGUCAAACGGUUGGACCCCUAGUACAUCGCAACGCCUUUCAUCGUCGAAAACUAGAACACAAGUUGCGAGGGGACCGCAUUUAGGACCUCGGCAAAAUUGUCUAGCCUCGCUAUGGACAAUGGGCCACAGAAGCUAUCCUUGGCUGUAACGUUGAGGGUUCGGAGGGCCAGGGCAAGGGAGAGGUGUGCACCCUAGUGGAUAACAGGUUGCAUCCGCUUGUAGAGGACAUCGGCAUUAUUAUGGAAAAUCGGGCAGUCUGGAUCAAAUUCAGCGACACUCUCGGCGGUGACAUUGGAUUGGUGAAUCUCUAUGCACCCAAUUGUUCCACUGAACGAGUACAACUGUGGCACAAACUCGUGUCAAAUCUGCCAAUAAACUGCCAAUGGCAUAUAGCAGGUGAUUUUAACAUGAUGGAUAAAUCCUCCCAAUGUGGUCGACUGCUAUCAGGCGGGGAAAAAUUUGCAUGGGAAUCCUUCAGAAGUAAUUUCCAAGUCACGGACCCAUUCAAGUUCCAGGGCAAGCUACGCUUUACCUGGGAUAAUCAGCACAAAGACGGCUGUCGAAUCCCAGGACGCCUUGACAGAUACUAUCUCUCCGAGAGCCAAAAUCCAGACUUUAGUGCCGCAGUGAAAGAAUGUGCCAUCCUUGGCGCUAACACGAUCUCUGAUCACCACCCUGUCCGUUUAGAAUUGGCACUCACGGACGAGGGCCGAUGGUAGGACAGCUACAAGAUGAGUACGCUCCACCUUGCAGCUCCGAAAAUCAAGGGGGCAGUGACGAGGGUGUGGGGGGUAGAACGUAGGGACACUCAAGACUUCCUCGCAAGGCUGCGGCGUUUCACAAGGUGGUUUAAGACUCACGGUGUCCAGAUAGCGGAAGCUAACCGAAAACAAGAAAAAGACUACCAACUGGAGUUGGCAAGAAUCCAGGAAAGUAUCUAGGAGGACCCCGAUAACGCCACCCUGUACCUAGAAGAAGAGGAUUGCCGUAAAACCCUCAGAGUUAGAAUCCAAGAAACUCGAAGGCCGUUGAAUUCGAUCCAGAGUUUGCUAGAAGACUACUGCAGAUACAAUAUUGACUGAGUUCUUCAUCGCAGUGUGGGAAAAUCAGCCCGAUCAAUGCUAACUGAGCUUCGAGGUCAGAGUGGAGAAUCCUCGUCGGCCAUCAAGCGAUUGCAACGGAGUGCAGGGCCUAUUUUGCCGCCCUGUAUAGCGAAACCAACAGAGAUGUAGAAGAAAUCGCGGCUGAAGAUGACAUUCUGACUGCACUGCCGACUCGUGCCAACCUCCUGAUGGCUCAAACGUUACAACAACCUAUGCUGAAUAUAGAGCUUCACGCAGCAGCCAUUGGCAUGGCCAAAGGCUUGACAGAGUGACAUUGGAUUUCUUUUUCAUGUAUUGGGAAAUUGUUGGCGAGGAUUAUUGACAAAUGGUGGCUAAGGCCAUAGCACACGGUUCAUUCCUCAAAAUUGUAACCAAGGGACUAAUAACAUUAACCCACAAGGGUGGCCAUAGGAAGACAUUAGGUAAAUGGCUCUCCAUCAUAUAUAAAAUCUAUGCCAAGGCAUUCAGCUCUGGCCCCAAGAACACCUUGAAAGAGCACCUUCUUCAAUUAAAAAUUCAUUUUUGAACAACAUUAUGCUUA